rnacentral:rRNA from 1 species
AUUGAACGCUGGCGGCAUGCUUUACACAUGCAAGUCGAACGGUAACAGGCCGCAAGGUGCUGACGAGUGGCGAACGGGUGAGUAAUGCAUCGGAACGUGCCCAGUCGUGGGGGAUAACUACUCGUAAGAGUAGCUAAUACCGCAUACGAUCUAUGGAUGAAAGCGGGGGACCGUAAGGCAUCGCGCGAUUGGAGCGGCCGAUGUCAGAUUAGGUAGAUGGUGGGGGAAAGGCUCACCAAGCCAACGAUCUGUAGCUGGUCUGAGAGGACGACCAGCCACACUGGGACUGAGACACGGCCCAGACUCCUACGGGAGGCAGCAGUGGGGAAUUUUGGACAAUGGGCGCAAGCCUGAUCCAGCAAUGCCGCGUGCAGGAAGAAGGCCUUCGGGUUGUAAACUGCUUUUGUACGGAACGAAACGGCUCUGGUUAAUACCCGGGGCUAAUGACGGUACCGUAAGAAUAAGCACCGGCUAACUACGUG